rnacentral:rRNA from 1 species
GCCUAAGGAUGAGUUCGGCGCGGAUUAGGGUUGUUGGUGGGGUACCGGCCCAACCCAGCCCAAGAUCCGUACGGGCCUUUGAGAGAGGGGACCCGGAGAAGACACUGAGACACCUGGGUCCUAGCCCUUACGGGGGUGCAGCAGGCGCGAAACCUUACAAUGCACGAAAGUGUGAUAAGGGAACUCAAAGUGCUUAUGCAUUAGCAUAGGCUUUUGCCAAAAGUAAACUUUUUGGCGAAUAAGUGGUGGGCAAGACUGGUGCCAGCCGCCGCGGUAACACCAGCGCCACAAGUGGCAAUCAUGUUUAUUGGGCCUAAAGCGUUCGUAGCCGGUUUGAUAAAUUCACUGUGAAAUUGCAUUGCUCAACUUUGCAACGUGCAGAGAAGACUGUCAAACUAGAGACCGGGAGGAGCUUGGAGUAUUCUUGGGGGAGCGGUAAAAUGUUAUAAUCCCUUGAAGACUACCUGUGGCGAAGGCGCCAAGCUAGAACGGUUCUGACGGUGAGGGACGAAAGCCAGGGGAGCGAUCCGGAUUAGAUACCCGUGUAGUCCUGGCCGUAAACGCUGCGAGUUAGGUGUUGCGUAUACUUCGAGUAUGCGCAGUAUCGAAGAGAAGUCGUUAAACUCGCCGCCUGGGAAGUACGGUCGCAAGACUGAAACUUAAAGGAAUUGGCGGGGGAGCACCACAAGGGGUGCGGCGUGCGGUUUAAUCUAAUUCAACGCAGAGAAUCUCACCAGAAGCGACGGCAGGAUGAUAGUCAGUCUGAAGGGCUUACUUGACGAGCCGAGAGGUAGUGCAUGGCCGCCGUCAGCUCGUGCUGUAAGGUGUCCUGCUAAGUCAGGCAACGAGCGAGACCUGUAUCUACAAUUGCUAACGACCUUUGGGAUCGAGCACAUUGUGGAGACUGCCUUCGAAAGAAGGAGGAAGGUGCAGGCUACGGUAGGUCUGUAUGCUCCGAAUCUUCUGGGCUACACGCGCGCAACAAUGGUAGGGACAAUGGGAUACAACUCCGAAAGGAGAAGCUAAACCUCUAAACUCUAUCCAAGUCCAGAUUGUGGAUUGUAACUCAUCCACAUGACGAUGGAAUCCCUAGUAAUCGGGUAUCAUCAGUGCCCGGUGAAUAUGUCCCUGCUCCUUGCACACACCGCCCGUCAAACCACUCGAGCAGGGUUUAGAUGAGGGUUAGUUUUUUUGAUUGAUUCGAAU